CCCCAGCCCCUGUUUAUUUAUUUUUAUGUGGUGCUGAGGAUCGAACCCAGGGCCUCACAUGUGUGAGGCAAGCACUCCAUCACUGAGCCACACCCGCAGCCCUUAACUGGAGAACUUUUCACACUUAUAAAAUGCUGCUAAUCAGUUACAUCCAGUCUGCUAAACUUUACAAGUUUCUCUCUUAUAUAAGGAGGCUGGUAAGCCGCUCCCAGCCCUCUUACGAGGGCCAUGGGCAUUCCCUCUCCAGGCAGGACCAGGACUAAACAGCUGGAUUGCCUCACCUGGGCCCUGCCUGGGCUAUAUCCCCAGUCACCUGUUAUUACUCAAGAGUCUCAUCCUCCCUGUUUUUUUGAGGCCUGGUCUGUGUGCCAGCCUGCUCUCACUGGCCUCCUUUCUGGUUUCCCUAGGGAAGCACCUCUGGGCUGUCCCCCUGCUGACUACGCUUCCUCACUUCCUGCCCAUCGCUUCCAACUUCAUCCCUGUCCUCACUAGGACCCCUCAGGGCCUGGAUCUUAGCACAGUUGGUGGGGACUUUCUGUCUCAUCUCACAGGUGCUUUCAGUGGCUCUGGCCUAGGUUCCUGUGGUCAGCUACCCACCAAAUGGUGACUUCUUCAAGGCUCUGUCCUGGGCUGCCUCCUCCUGGAGCAUCUGUUGUGCAGGGACUGUCUCUUCCUGGCACUCGCUCCCUCUCUAGCUGGUUGUGCUCAGCACCCGCUGCAGCGUGUAGAGAAGGAGAUCACAGUCAUCCAGCCUGCCCUCCACAGUCUCUCGCUUUCUCUGUUCCCUUUGCUGAGGAAAGGCUGCACCCAGCUUCUCUGCUUGCCUGCCUGUGUCUCCCGUGGCUCAUCCCUACACCCAACGCUCCCCUUCCUCACCAGUGACUUUGCGCUGUUGCCCCAUAACCCUGCCCUCCUGUGAACUGCUUUCUCAGGAAACCCUCUUCCCCUGGCUUCCUUCCGCAACCCUCACUCUAUGUUUUCCUCUCCUCUGGGGCUAAUCUGCAAGGCUGUGCAGUUUUUCUCCUAUGGUGAUCAGCAUCCUAGCAGAGAGCCAGUCUCAUGACUGUCCCUAAAGCCAUCCUCAAGACGUACAGUUCCUAUGAAAGCAACACAACUACAAAGGAAACCCCAGUUACUGUAUUUCACCAAUGAUGUUAUUAGCUGGUGAUUCAUCUUUAGUUCUAGCUAUACCUUGAUCUUGCCCUGGAUCUUUCUGGUUGUUCCUUUAGCAAUGAUUGAGCACCUACUGUUUGCUAGCCACUGUGCCGAUGGCUACUACUUUGUCAGCUGUCAAGGCUUUUCCCUUGGCCCAUGUGGCAUCUUUUCUCAAAGUCCCAUUUCAUCUGAUUUUUGCAUGCAGGUGGCUGUGACUGUCCUUCAGCUAGGAGGUGUCUAUGACAACGAACAUAAGAAUUAUCUUCCUUCAUAUCCAGUCUUGUUCUGACCUGGACUGCAUAUAAUAAUAUGAUUUUCUGAUUUUAAAAUCUGCCAAGUGAUUAAAAAAUCAACAUCACUUAAAAGGAUGGGGAAAUUAGGAAUUACACCAAUUAGCCUAGACAAGAAGGGUAGAAAGUGGGAUAUCUCUUUUGAGUUACUCUUUUGAGAAUAAUCAUAGUUCUCUAGAAGAGAGAAUUUCCUGAGGCACAUACCUCUCUUGUCUUAAUGGUGCUUCAGACUAAGCAGAUUACAGACAGAUGUUAUCAAAUACUUUGUCCCAGAUAUCUAAAUAGUUUAACUGUAGCCUCUCUGAGGCUGAAGGGUGGCACCAAAAGUUCUUCUUGUGACUCCACCAUGCCUGUGUGGUCCCAGUCAUCUCGUGAAGGCCCAGAGGGUUGUGUUUUGGGUUCUCUGAUCUUCUUAUGUGCCUAACACAUCUAAGGACAUAACAAUGAUUGACAAAGCUAGUCUGGAAGGCUUUAAUUUCAAGGUGAAUAAUUUGAAAAGUGCUGUUUAGCUGGGGGCACUGGUGCAUGCCAGUGGCCCAGGAGGCUGAAGGAGG
rnacentral:lncRNA from 1 species